rfam:Wallemia sebi CBS 633.66 unplaced genomic scaffold WALSEscaffold_6, whole genome shotgun sequence.
AUGCCCAUCGCGGCACACAUAAUAUUGGAACAAUACAGAGAAGAUUAGCAUGGCCCCUGCAAAAGGAUGACACAUCUUGACCAUUGAGGAGCACGUUUAACGUGCAAAUAUUUUU